rnacentral:rRNA from 1 species
UACGUAGGGGGCAAGCGUUGUCCGGAAUCAUUGGGCGUAAAGAGCGCGUAGGCGGCCCUGUAAGUCCGCUGUGAAAGUCAAGGGCUCAACCCUUGGAUGCCGGUGGAUACUGCAGGGCUAGAGUCCGGAAGAGGCGAGUGGAAUUCCUGGUGUAGCGGUGAAAUGCGCAGAUAUCAGGAAGAACACCCGUGGCGAAAGCGGCUCUCUGGGACGGUACUGACGCUGAGACGCGAAAGCGUGGGGAGCGAACAGG